CCUGUUUAAUGGGACCCAAAGCAGCAUAGGGCUGUAAAGGUGCUGCCUCUCCUGGUUCACCCUCCGUGACAUGCUAUGUAAGGCUGAUUUCUCCUUAAGGCAGGUUGGGGGGCCAGACCUGGAGUUGUGAUAUUGUGCAUGGCUGUUGAAAAUGCUGUAUCCUUCAGUGACAUGGCAUCAAAUGUCAGCUGGAUGUGAGCAGGCAAGUGUACAGCCAUCCCAGGUGUCAUUUAAGCAGCCCAUCGUGUUCCUGGUACUGUCUUAUUUUUGUACAAGGUUGAUAAAUAAUAGUUAUGUCCACAGCAUCAGAGGCUCUGCAUUCCUUUUUGUAUUCCCCCAAGAGGCUGAGACUGUCAGAAAUACAGAGCUAAUGACAUAAAAUUUUUAAAUAAAGCAUCUUCUCACCAACAGAAUAUUUAAAACAGCAAUAAUGGAUGGUCUGUGAUACGCCCAUGUGGAUAUGUGGUGGCAUGAAGAAAGAAAGGACCUGCCAGCCUCUGAUGAAAUAUAUAGCACCAGUCAAACUUACUGUUUGGAGUAACAUCCAUUAUGAACUCAGCCCCGUUUCAGUUUAGUAAAUCAUUUGCAAGUUGAUUCCGAUGGCGUCAUCUGCAAUUCAUAAAUCUUUGCUGAAUGACUUCUUUCCAGAGAACCAGUUCUUGCAAGAAACUUCAUCUUCAUGUUCACAGGAGGUCAUGGAGGUGUUCUUAUGUAAUGAGCAUAAACAGCUGUGAGAGCUUUUGUUGAAAGAACACAUUAGAAAAGGAUAGCAAAAUUACUGAUGCAUUCCUCUCUAUUCCACUACUAAGAGUGCUGUAAGAUCACUUUGUUUCCCUGGUCUAAGAUGGACGUAAUUGUUGUCAUUAUAACCCCCUUUUAGAUAACACGAGUGAGAUUCAGAUGCUCCUGAACAUGAAAGGUGCACUCAGUCCCCAGGCAGGCAGCCCUAUUGACAAGAUGCCUG